rnacentral:rRNA from 1 species
GACGAACGCUGGCGGCGUGCUUAACACAUGCAAGUCGAACGGAAAGGCCCUGCUUGCAGGGUACUCGAGUGGCGAACGGGUGAGUAACACGUGGGUGAUCUGCCCUGCACUUCGGGAUAAGCCUGGGAAACUGGGUCUAAUACCGGAUAGGAGCCAUUUUUAGUGUGAUGGUUGGAAAGUUUUUUUCGGUGUACGAUGAGCUCGCGGACUAUCAGCUUGUUGGUGGGGUAAUGGCCUACCAAGGCGGCGACGGGUAGCCGGCCUGAGAGGGUGGACGGCGACAUUGGGACUGAGAUACGGCCCAGACGCCUACGGGAGGAAGCAGUGGUGAAUGUUACACAGUAGGCGCAAACCUGAUUCAGCGACGCCGCGUGGGUGAUGACGGCCUUCGGGUUGUAAGCUCCUUUCGCUAGGGACGAAGCUUUUUGUGACGGUACCUAAAUAAGAAGCACCGGCUAACUACGUG